GGCAGUGCAAGGGGCUGAAACAUGGUUGCAGUCAGGAUAUGUCAAAGUAGAGCUAAGAAAACUUGCUAAUGAAUUAACAGUGGGGUAUGAUGGCAAGAUCAGGGUAAAAGAUGACAGUACUAGCUGGGCACGGUGGCUCACGCCUAUAAUCCCAGCACUUUGGGAGGCCAAGGCAGGUGGAUCACAAGGUCAGGAGAUGGAGACCAUCCUGGUUAACAUGAUGAAACCCUAUCUCUACUAAAAAAAUACAAAAAAAAUUAGCUGGGCAUGGUGGCGGGCACCUGUAGUCUCAGCUACUUGGGAGGCUGACGCAGGAGAAUGGCAUGAACCCGGGAGGCAGAGCUUGCACUGAGCUGAGAUCGCACCACUGCACUCCAGCCUGGGCGACAGAGCGAGGCUCCAUCUCAAAAAAAAAAAAAAAAAAAAACAUGACAGUACUUUGUUUGCCCUGAGCAACUGGAUAAUGCUGAUGCCCCUUACUGAGAUGGGAAAAACAUGAUGGAGAAGGUUUGGGGAAAGGGAAAGGGAAGGGAUCAAGAUCUCCACGUAGGACAAGGAAUGAGCACGUACAUCUGGAAAAGCUCCCCAGGUGAUCUGGAUACACCACCUACACCCUCCGCUACACUAUCUAGUUGAGAAUCAACCAGCUCCUGGAACACUGAGACCCUCUCACAGAGGUUCAUUCUCAGUAAACUGAGAACAGAUUGCUCAACUUCUACACAAAAAGAAGGGAGAAUCUUUACCUAGACAAAUGACAGUCUUACAGUUUUCCUGCAUUACAUCAUUGUAGAGGGCCUUCUGAGUGUAAUCCAGUAACUCCAAUUCUUCCUGAGAAAAAUAUAUGGCCACUUCUUCAAAUGUCAACAAGCUCUAAAGAAGAGAAUGGACUUCAGCUCUGAACUUGCCACUGCAGAAGCAGCCUAACUGCGUAUGAACUGCAUGGUAGGCCAGGUGCUAAAGAAAUUAACAGAAUACGAUUUAAGAAAAAAAAAGGCGGGGGCCCACGGGGGCGAAGGCAGAAGAAAAGGAGCCAAGGGAUCAGCAAACAGCCUAGGAGGUACCCAGUUCCCUCUGGGCCAAGCCUAAUUGUCCAGGGUAGAACCUCUGGGGCUAACAUGCCUCAGGGCACAUGCUGGGCAGUGUGGGUCUUGGGCAGCAGGGAAAGGCAGAUAAGGUCAUGCUCAGGUAGCCCUACACUGCUGGAAAGCACAGCUCAACUGGGACUGAGGCAAGAGGAGCUCAGGUGCCACUGUCCAGUCUUUGGUGUUUGUCUGCUCAGGAAAGACUAAAAUCUGUUGAGCAGGCACAGCUGUGGGUGGAAAAGAGCCAGAGGAUAUUUCUCUUGUUUCUAUGAUCAUCCUUAGCUCAUUUCUAAAAUACAGAAAAUCCUGAUUCUUUCUGGAAAGAUAGGACACCUUUUUAAGAGUGUGUAUGGUAACCACUUGGUUCUUUGUAAAUUAGAACCAAGUGUCUACCAGCCCCUAGAACCGGUUCCCCAGAUGAUUAUCCUCAGUUUUCAAGAGGAAAGUUAAUAAAAAGAUAUAUAUAUAUAGCGUUUUUUCCCCUUGCAUGAUAUACAUUUUUCUGAGUUGAGCAAAACUUAGA
rnacentral:lncRNA from 10 species